AUAUGAGCUAUUCGGGUUGCGGGCGGUCCCUAACCAUCCAUAGGUCGUCCUGUAAAUGACAGAAGAUGUACCCGAAGAUGUUCAGUAUUAACCGAGAUUUAUUGAUAAUAGCAAUGACCGAGGAACGAUUAAUAGCCAAUCUACGAAAGGGACGACAAUCGGCCUUGAGUGAAAUCUACGACUUAUAUGCUCAGGAGCUACUUGUUUUCUGCUUUUCAUAUACUAAAUCUAAGCAAGAUGCAGAAGAAGUUGUGCAAGAUUCUUUCCUCCGACUUUGGGAGAUGCGCUCUUCCAUACGGUCUGAUCAUUCCUUAAAGUCUUUGCUUUUUAAGAUAGCUAAGAACCGAGUUAUUGAUUUGUUUAGGUCUAAUUUAAAUAGUAAGAUCUUUGCCGAUUACCUUCUUUUUCAACAAUCGGAUGCUGUCAACGAGUCUGCGGAUAUGGAUUAUGACGGUUACCGUUUGUUGGUCGAUAAAGUAUUGAUGAAGUUACCGCCUUCGCAGAGGGAGAUCGUUAGGCUGUCUGACUUUGACGGCUUAAACAAUAGUCAAAUAGCACAAAAACUUAAUAUUACGGAGAAGACGGUAAGAAAUCAAUUAUCCGCCGGCAACCAGCUGUUUUAUAAACUAUUAAAGAAUGCUUUGAAGUUUUUAUGUUUUAUUUUUUCUUUGUCUUUGGGAUAAAUCCUUUGUUGGAUCGUCUUAUAAGCACAAUCCUGACAUAUACGUUUUUAACAUGAAUCCUUUAUUAAAGAGAUAUAUUGAUAAUACCAUUACCCCCGAGGGACUUGAGGAGCUGCGAGUCUAUGUCUCUACGCUUGAUGACGAGCAACUGUCCACACUGCUUGAGGAUGAUUCCUGUAAGCGUGUCGUCUCUCCAUUUACAGAGAUUGAGGUUGAGCAACUGAAGAGUUCUCUGAUGGAAUCACUUUCAGAAGAGCCUUCUCGCUGGCCCAUUGUGCGGAGGGUCAUUGGCUGGGCAGCUGUCUUGUUGUUACCGAUCCUGCUCUUCUCUACCUAUUAUUUCUAUCAUCAUUAUGUGAACGUCUCCCGGGAGCAGAUUAUCGUCUCAACGGGUCCUUUUGAGCGUUCAAAUAUUACGUUGCCAGAUGGCACCCGCGUGAAGCUCAAUGCCAAUACUGAGUUGUCUUAUUCUGCACAAGCUUUCUCCGGUUCCGACCGUAGUGUCAGUUUUACAGGUGAAGCCUACUUUGAGGUUUCAAAACUUCAGGGCCGCCAUUUUACGGUGAAAGGUGAUGGUUACAAUGUUGAGGUGAAAGGCACAAAGUUUAAUGUCUCAGCAGGCGAAUCCGAUCCUGAGGUCGUAGUUUCCUUGGAUGAAGGUCGCGUUGGAUUCACUUCUUCAAAGGGAGGAACAGUAGACAUGAAGCCUGGAGAUGUUUCUACGCUUGAGCGUUUGUCGGGCAUGAUCACCGUCAAGCACAACCAGUUGACGAACGACUUCUCUGCGUGGAAGCGGAACGAGAUUGUGGUGCGUCACAGCACGCUGACUCAUUUGCUCGAUUUGAUGAAACGGUCUUAUGGUGUCUCUUUCCGAGUGGAUAAGAAUGUGUGUCCGUCAAGUACAUUCACGGGUAUGAUCCCGAGCGAUAACCUUAACGAAGCACUCGACAUCUUAGAGACUGCUUAUGGCAUCAGGACAUAUGUAGACGGGCGGACCAUUCGACUAUCAAAGUAAAUAUUUGUUAAACAUCAAGAAGCGUAUGGGACACAUAUGCCUUUUUUGCGUCUUGUUUGUGAUUCUCGUAAACUGAGAGUUCUAAAAAACAAUAUGUUUAAACCAAAAAUUAACAACAUGGUACAUUCAAAAGAGAGAUCUUCGUGGAAGAGCCUUCUGGUAUUGUUUCUGUUCUUGUCCGGCUCUAUGUUGGUCGCCAAUGCGGAAACGAAUGCUAAGGGUAACCGUGUGACUAUUCAUGUGGCGAAUGCGUCACUGCUUCAAAUCUUCAACCAAAUUGAGAAGCAAACAACUU
rnacentral:rRNA from 1 species